GUGAGAGAGAGAGAGAGAGAGAGAGAACUCUAGCUCCAUCCCAGCCAUUCUCUGUCCUCACUGUCAAACCUGCCCCUAGCCAACCUGCCACACUCAAUCCUCACGACCAAAACCCUCACCUGCCACUGUUGACCACUCCCUACCACCAACCCCUCUUUGCUGCCUAUGCUACACUUCCACUCUCCCAACAAACAGUAUUUGCUGGUUCCACUUACUGCCACUGUUUGCAGCCCCUUCCCCAAGCUAUUUGUUCUUGCCCCCAACAUCUCUUUGCUGCUGCUGCAAACACUGAUCAGUCUACAUAAGCUUUUGCUUUUGUUGGCCACACUUUCUUCUGCGUCACUCUGUUUUGCCCUCCUUAUUUCUCUUUCGCAGCCACCCCCACCCCAUUUUUUCUUUUGGUCAGUGUUGUUAUCUAGAGCGAGCUUGAAGUUUUAAAAUAACUCAGCCCGGGAGGAGGGUGGGGCAUGCAACUGGAUUGCAUUUCGCAUUGUUGGCUUUCUUCCCAAUAGGAGGAGGAGAUUUGGCAGAAAGUUAUUUGUGUGUGCAUCACUUUGUAAUGCUGUCUGAACAAGGGGCACAGGAGGCAGAUUUCUCGUUCAGAAUAAGCAACUUGCUCAGUAUUACCAAGGAAAACCAUCACAGAAAGGAUUAGAAGCAAUUCCCUGGGCAUUCACUUAACUGUGAGGCUUCUGCCUUCAGUCCUCUGUGCAUUAACCAACUGCUGUUUUAUCACUGGAAAUGAGGGUCCUUCACAUCACAGACUGGGUUUUGCCCCAGGACACAAGCCAUUCUGAGCACCGAAUGAGGCACAGUUUCCAUGAAAAACAGGAUGUGAUCAUGUCUUCAGUUUGAGAAAGUUUGAAGACAUUGAUUCUAAUGGAAGAAACAAAUCUAAGGAAUCACUGCUAGUAAUUCAAUGGAUUCACAAUUAUUGGCCUAACAAAUGCCAGCAGGGUGUAACUAACAUCAGGCCUACUCUGUGUAUAGUCAAAAACACUGAAUUACCUUUUUUGCUGUUAAUGGGUUGGAUGCUGCUCCAAGCAGAGGUGGGUAGAGGGUGGAUGGUGAUGCAACUUGAAGCUCUGAACUGAACUAAACUUGUUGGUAAAGGAUGCCCAAUUCCUGGAAUGACGGUGAACUGUGCAGUAACUGGAAAAGCCAGGAAUUAUAUGAAAUUCAUAGAAAAUGCCAAAGGUGAGAGGGGGCUAUGGAGAGGAGACAGUUACAUUUUCACAUCACAAUCCCCUCAUAAUCAAACCCAUGCUUUUGAAUGCUUUUGUUUUAAUGCUGCUACAGCACUUGGGUGGAGAAAAUAGCUGCUUCUAUCUCAUGCUGCUAGGUGGAGGUUUUGAUCGGAAGGAGAAAGGUAGAGUCAGUUCAUUGCCCAAGCAUGCAGGACACUGCACCCAACUGGAUGGCACAUCUCUGCUUGGAUAAAAUAACUUUUGCAUACUGUAUCCUGAUCUAUUCCCAUAUUUCAGGGAAUGUACUGUGCAUCAAUGGGCCGAACACUAAAGUUUCUGGUGAGCAGCAGAAAAGGAAGUCUGCAUGUAUAGAGGAGGAACACAGACUCUAGCAACAGCUUAGCAGACCUACCUCUGUACUUGAUGGCCAAUGGUAGCUGUUGCAUCCUAAUUAUAGGCUUAGCUUAGUUCAACCUAGCUUUUCAUUAUAAACUAAAGAUAUUGAUGUCCUGAAAGAAAAGAAGUAAUAAUGGAGAAUAUACCUGCACUAGGGGCAUUUCAACUGUGUAGACAUAUGGAUAUGUUGCACUGGCAAAGGUCCUGCUGUAGCAGAAAGCCCCCUUUUCCUCUUGCCUGCAUUUGCUCUCCCCUCUUUGGAUAUGUUUCUCUUUUUCUACCUUUUCUUCCUUCCUCUCUCUUUCACUUUAAGA